rnacentral:rRNA from 1 species
CAGCAGCAGCCGCGGUAAAACAGAGGGUGCGAGCGUUAAUCGGAUUUACUGGGCGUAAAGCGUGCGUAGGCGGCUUUUUAAGUCGGAUGUGAAAUCCCUGAGCUUAACUUAGGAAUUGCAUUCGAUACUGGGAAGCUAGAGUAUGGGAGAGGAUGGUAGAAUUCCAGGUGUAGCGGUGAAAUGCGUAGAGAUCUGGAGGAAUACCGAUGGCGAAGGCAGCCAUCUGGCCUAAUACUGACGCUGAGGUACGAAAGCAUGGGGAGCAAACAGGAUUAGAUACCCCCGUAGUCCCUGUCUCUUAUAC